AUUGCAUGUUCGUGUUCGUGUCGAGUCGUGUCAACACGCGCCCAUCUCUACCUGCGAGCUAUGAGCAUAGCAAGAACAACAACAACAACAAUAAAGAUGUAAGUAGUUGCCAUAUCGCCCAAAGCUGAGAGCACACAGCGAACCGCAAAAUACGCAGAAACCACUGCAAAAAUCAGUACACCCACAAGUCAAAGUGUGCGUGUGUUUGUGUGUGUGUAUGUGUGUGUAGAAUUGAGUGCACGUCUUGGGUUGCGCUUCAGUUACCUUCGACAAAGGAAAGCAGCGACGCCAAAGCUGACGCUGGCAGCGACAGAGGCGGCGUCUAACGGCGUAACGAAGGCAAUUCUCAAUACGUGCGUGUGCCGCCCCACAAAAUCGCUGCUGCUGCCCCUCUGACGCCAACUGAAAGGUUUGCGCGCGCGCUGCUGAUAUCAACAACAAGAGCAACAAAAGAAGCGCAACAAAAGCAGCGCGGCGUAGAUAAGCGUACACACACACACAUACGCGCACACAUGCGCACGCAGUGUGAAUGCAACUGUGUAUGGGGAAAUAUACAUAGAAAAUAGUAAAAAGCAAAACAAAUUAAAGUGGAAGAAGGUGUGUGAUGAAAUUGAUAACAAGCAGCGUUUUCUAGUUGUGUUAACGUGAUAACAGUUUGUUUGAGCAGAGCAAGCCGUCUGACAGAAAGAGAGAGAAAGAGCGAUAGAAAGAGCGUAUCCAGCUCUCUGACUCAUAAAAGGUAAUAAGCGGUCGAAGGUUCGUUUUAAUUCCAUUAAUCAUCAAAGCUCGCGCUCAAAAUGCACUACCCCCCUCAUUGGGUAAACCGCACCUGUGCUUGCCAGGCAGCAGCGGCAGCAGCAGCAGCAGCAUUCAAGUGGAUUUUUGUUCAAAGCACGAGCAGAAGAAAUGUCAGAAAUUUGUGUGCGAAGAUAAGCGACAUUCAACACAAAAACACACAGGCACAUAUAUAUACACACACGAACGCAUACACACGCACACACACACACAUAUUGCAGCAUAAAACUGGCGAGAGGCUGAGAAUAAAACUGUAAUCGUAAUCCCUGCAGAGCAAGAGUAACAGCAGCAGCAGCAGCAGCAUAUACAAAAACAACAACAACAACAACGACGCCAGGCAAGACUCUUUCGGCAGCAGCGCGCAGCGAAUAAGAAGUAGCGUAGUAUGAGAAGAAAAAAUUUUUCUUUCAGCCAAACGUAAUUGCACUGCUACUGUGCUUAUUUUUGCAAUGG